rnacentral:lncRNA from 1 species
GCCAUGGAAGUCACAAAAAACCGGGGCAGAAAAUUUUCUGCCGAUUGUCGAAAAUUUUCUCGGAAGAACGGGGAAACAAUUUCAAUACUUUUAAGUUCUAGGUCGCCCACCAGUAUAAUGCGGGAAUACUUUUAAGUUCUAGGUCGCCCACCAGUAUAAUGCGGGAAUACAUUUAAGUUCUAGGUCGCCCACCAGUAUAAUGCGGGAAUACUUUUAAGUUCUAGGUCGCCCACCAGUAUAAUGCGGGAAUACAUUUAUGUUCUAGGUCGCCCACCAGUAUAAUGCGG